UACGUAGGGGGCUAGCGUUGUCCGGAAUCAUUGGGCGUAAAGCGCGUGUAGGCGGUCCGGUAAGUCCGCUGUGAAAGUCGGGGGCUCAACCCUCGAAAGCCGGUGGAAACUGUCGGGCUAGAGUGCGGAAGAGGCGAGUGGAAUUCCUGGUGUAGCGGUGAAAUGCGCAGAUAUCAGGAGGAACACCAAUUGCGAAGGCAGCUCGCUGGGACGUAACUGACGCUGAGACGCGAAAGCUAGGGGAGCGAACAGG
rnacentral:rRNA from 1 species